rnacentral:rRNA from 1 species
UAUGAGAGAUGAGGUGUUCCUUUGGGGGGCUGUGACACAGGGGGCACAUGUGUGUUCUCAUCUUGUGUUGAGAGAUUGGGGGAAAACUCCCACAGAGAGCGCACCCCUUCUCAUUAGUCCCCCACAAAAAGGGGCGCUCUAAAAAGAGACCCGGGGUGACACCGGGGGGGGAGGGGGGGAAGGUCACGUGUUCUCACCCCCUAUAUCCCGGGGGACACACACGUGUUACACAAGGGGGGGCACAGAGAAAAGAGCCCCUGAAGACACAAGGGUAUCUGAAAAACCUUUUCACUUUUGGGAGUACAGGGCACAUCUCGCACACAAAAAGGGGAUAUCUAGAGAUAUCGCAUAUCCGCACGGCGGGGAGAAUGUUUUCCCGCCCCUUGCACACACCCCCCGUCACCACAAGAGAGUGUGACACCCAAGAAGCGGUGGGAUAUCCUUUAAAGGAGUCAGCCGUCUAAGGUAGGACAGAUGAUUAGGGUG